CAGCGCCGUUGCCUGGUUUCCACACGCCGCUCCGCCAAUAGGAGCUGAGGGAGAGGUGAUUGCUAUAGCGACCGUAGAGCAACUGACCAAUCGCAGCACAGCUUCUUGGCGGAGCCUUUUAAGCACGGCCAAUGAGGCAGGGCGGCGCGCUGGCUUUCUGGGGUCGCCAUUUUGCGGCUCGCCUGAGGCGAGCGGGUCGAGUGCUGCCGCGUCUCGGCCGUCGGGCAGACUGCAGCGGCCCCGCAGCUCGGAGCCUCCGUAGAGGCGACCGAGAGGUCCCUCUCAGGCCCUCUACUUCAGGGCUCGUCGGCGGUUGUGCCCCCUGGCUGUGGCCGGUGUGUCCCUAGGAGGCGGUUCCCCUUGCCGGGUGUCACAGGCACGGCCCUGGUGGGAGUUGGGCUCUCGAUCCCCCGCUCCCUGUGGCUGUUUGCCAGUCUGCUCCUCUCAGGCUUCAGCACCAAUUCCCAGUGCCUGGUGCGUGAAGGAAUAAGGAAAUCAGGUGUAGUGGAGGUGCUCCGCUAGGCGAGGAUCCAUGCGCAGCUUAUCAUCUAGAGCCAGGUGGUUCUUUUGCAGCUCCUCCACCGCCUGUUGGGGGAGCAAGCAACCAUGAGUUAGGGUAAUGGAGAGGAGAGCAAGGAGCAAAGGCACACAGAAGUGCAACUCAAAGUUU